GCGGAAGUAGUUCAGUGGUAGAACAUCACCUUGCCAAGGUGGGGGUCGCGGGUUCGAAUCCCGUCUUCCGCUUCA
rnacentral:tRNA from 1 species